ACCUGCGGAGGGAUCAUUACCGAGUUUACAACUCCCAAACCCCUGUGAACAUACCAAUUGUUGCCUCGGCGGAUCAGCCCGCUCCCGGUAAAACGGGACGGCCCGCCAGAGGACCCCUAAACUCUGUUUCUAUAUGUAACUUCUGAGUAAAACCAUAAAUAAAUCAAAACUUUCAACAACGGAUCUCUUGGUUCUGGCAUCGAUGAAGAACGCAGCAAAAUGCGAUAAGUAAUGUGAAUUGCAGAAUUCAGUGAAUCAUCGAAUCUUUGAACGCACAUUGCGCCCGCCAGUAUUCUGGCGGGCAUGCCUGUUCGAGCGUCAUUUCAACCCUCAAGCCCUCGGGUUUGGUGUUGGGGAUCGGCGAGCCCUUGCGGCAAGCCGGCCCCGAAAUCUAGUGGCGGUCUCGCUGCAGCUUCCAUUGCGUAGUAGUAAAACCCUCGCAACUGGUACGCGGCGCGGCCAAGCCGUUAAACCCCCAACUUCUGAAUGUUGACCUCGGAUCAGGUAGGAAUACCCGCUGAACUUAAGCAUAUCAAUAAG
rnacentral:rRNA from 1 species